UACGGGGGGUGCAAGCGUUAUUCGGAUUUAUUGGGCGUAAAGAGCGCGUAGGCGGUUUAUCAAGUCAGAUGUGAAAGCCCUGGGCUCAACCUGGGAAGUGCAUUUGGAACUACAAGACUAGAGUGUGUCAGAGGGGGGUGGAAUUCCGCGUGUAGCAGUGAAAUGCGUAGAGAUGCGGAGGAACACCGAUGGCGAAGGCAGCCCCUGGGAUAACACUGACGCUCAUGCACGAAAGCGUGGGGAGCAAACAGGAUUAGAAACCCGGGUAGU
rnacentral:rRNA from 1 species